rnacentral:rRNA from 1 species
UACGUAGGCAGCAAGCGUUGUUCGGAAUUACUGGGCGUAAAGAGUGUGUAGGCGGUGUUCUAAGUUUGUCGUGAAAUCUCCCGGCUUAACUGGGAGGGUGCGGCGAAAACUGGAAUGCUAGAGGAUGGGAGAGGUAAGCGGAAUUCCUGGUGUAGCGGUGAAAUGCGUAGAUAUCAGGAGGAACACCUGUGGUGUAGACAGCUUUACUGGACCAUUUUCUGACGCUGAGACACGAAAGCGUGGGUAGCAAACAGG